GAUGAACGCUGGCGGCGUGCCUAACACAUGCAAGUCGAACGAAGCUUGACGGAUGAUUUCUUCGGAAUGAAACCAGAUAUGACUUAGUGGCGGACGGGUGAGUAACACGUGAGCAACCUGCCUUUCAGAGGGGGAUAACGGCUGGAAACGGUCGCUAACACCGCAUGAAGUGUUCGGAUGGCAUCAUCUGAACAUCAAAGAUUUAUCGCUGAAAGAUGGGCUCGCGUCUGAUUAGAUAGUUGGUGGGGUAACGGCCUACCAAGUCGACGAUCAGUAGCCGGACUGAGAGGUUGAACGGCCACAUUGGGACUGAGAUACGGCCCAGACUCCUACGGGAGGCAGCAGUGGGGAAUAUUGCACAAUGGGGGGAAACCCUGAUGCAGCAACGCCGCGUGAAGGAUGACGGUUUUCGGAUUGUAAACUUCUUUCUUAGUGACGAAGACAGUGACGGUAGCUAAGGAAUAAGAAGCCCCGGCUAACUACGUGCCAG
rnacentral:rRNA from 1 species